AUACUAAAAGGCAGCACAUAUACUAAAAUUGGAAUGAUACAGAGAAGAUUAGCAUGGCCCCUGCACAAGGAUGACACGCAAAUUCGUGAAGCGUUCCAUAUUAAA
rnacentral:snRNA from 1 species